UAACCGGGCGUUAAGUUGCAGGGUAUAGACCCGAAACCCGGUGAUCUAGCCAUGGGCAGGUUGAAGGUUGGGUAACACUAACUGGAGGACCGAACCGACUAAUGUUGAAAAAUUAGCGGAUGACCUGUGGCUGGGGGUGAAAGGCCAAUCAAACCGGGAGAUAGCUGGUUCUCCCCGAAAGCUAUUUAGGUAGCGCCUCGUGAAUUCAUCUCCGGGGGUAGAGCACUGUUUCGGCUAGGGGGCCAUCCCGGCUUACCAACCCGAUGCAAACUGCGAAUACCGGAGAAUGUUAUCACGGGAGACACACGGCGGGUGCUAACGUCCGUCGUGAAGAGGGAAACAACCCAGACCGCCAGCUAAGGUCCCAAAGUCAUGGUUAAGUGGGAAACGAUGUGGGAAGGCCCAGACAGCCAGGAUGUUGGCUUAGAAGCAGCCAUCAUUUAAAGAAAGCGUAAUAGCUCACUGGUCGAGUCGGCCUGCGCGGAAGAUGUAACGGGGCUAAACCAUGCACCGAAGCUGCGGCAGCGACGCUUAUGCGUUGUUGGGUAGGGGAGCGUUCUGUAAGCCUGUGAAGGUGUGUCGUGAGGC
rnacentral:rRNA from 1 species